UGCGUGGGAGUUCUGGGGGGCCAGUCAGGGGGCAGGGGCCAGGCUGUUUGGGGAGGCACAGCCUUCCCUACCAGGCCGUCCAUACAGUUUUGCAGCUCCAAUGGGGCCCUUGGGC